UACAGAGGUCUCAAGCGUUGUUCGGAUUCAUUGGGCGUAAAGGGUGCGUAGGCGGCGCGGUAAGUCGGGUGUGAAAUCUUGGAGCUUAACUCCGAAACUGCAUUCGAUACUGCCGUGCUUGAGGACUGGAGAGGAGACUGGAAUUUACGGUGUAGCGGUGAAAUGCGUAGAUAUCGUAAGGAAGACCAGUGGCGAAGGCGGAUCUCUGGACAGUUACUGACACUGAGGCACGAAGUCCAGGGGAGCAAACGGG
rnacentral:rRNA from 1 species